rnacentral:rRNA from 1 species
GAUGAACGCUAGCUACAGGCUUACCACAUGCAAGUCGAGGGGAAACGACAUCAAAAGCUUGCUUUUGAUAGGCGUCAACCGGCGCACGGGUGAGUAACGCGUAUCCAACCUGCCCACCACUUGGGGAUAACCUUGCAAAAGUAAAACUAAUACCCAAUGAUAUCUCUAAAAAACAUCUGAAAAAAAUUAAAGAUUUAUCGGUGAUGGAGGGGGAUGCGUCUGAUUAGCUUGUUGGCGGGGUAACGGCCCACCAAGGCAACAAUCAGUAGGGGUUCUGAGAGGAAGGUCCCCCACAUUGAAACUGAAACGCGGUCCAAACUCCUACGGGAGGCAGCAGUGAGGAAUAUUGGUCAAUGGACAAGAGUCUGAACCAGCCAAGUAGCGGGCAGGAAGACGGCCCUAUGGGUUGUAAACUGCUUUUAUAAGGAAAUAAAGUGAGUCUCGGGAGACUUUUUGCAUGUACCUUAUGAAUAAGGACCGGCUAAUUUCGGG